CUACGGGGCGCUCCAGUGAGGAAUAUUGCACAAUGGAGGAAACUCUGAUGCAGCAACGCCGCGUGGAGGAUGACGCAUUUCGGUGUGUAAACUCCUUUUAUAUGUCAAGAAAAUGACGGUAGCAUAUGAAUAAGCACCGGCUAACUCCGUGCCAGCAGCCGCGGUAAUACGGAGGGUGCAAGCGUUACUCGGAAUCACUGGGCGUAAAGGACGCGUAGGCGGGAGAUCAAGUCAGGUGUGAAAUCCUACAGCUUAACUGUAGAACUGCACUUGAAACUGGUAACCUAGAGUAUGGGAGGGGGAGAUGGAAUUAGUGGUGUAGGGGUAAAAUCCGUAGAUAUCACUAGGAAUACCUAAAGCGAAGGCGAUCUCCUGGAACAUAACUGACGCUAAGGCGUGAAAGCGUGGGGAGCGAACAGGAUUAGAUACCCGGGUAGUC
rnacentral:rRNA from 1 species